CCCUAUAUAGUGCACUACUGUUGACCAGAGCCCUAAUUCCUAUAUAGUGCACUACUUUAGACCAGGGCCCUAUUCCCUAUAUAGUGCACUACUUUAGACCAGAGCCCUAUUCCCUAUAUAGUGCACUACUUUAGACCAGAGCCCUAUUCCCUAUAUAGUGCACUACUGUUGACCAGAGCCCUAUUCCCUGUAUAGUGCACUACUAUUGACCAGAGCCCUAUUCCCUAUAUAGUGCACUACUAUUGACCAGAGCCCUAUUCCCUAUAUAGUGCACUACUAUAGACCAGAGCCCUAUUCCCUAUAUAGUGCACUACUGUUGACCAGAGCCCUAUUCCCUAUAUAGUGCACUACUUUAGACCAGAGCCCUACUCCCUAUAUAGUGCACUACUUUAGACCAGAGCCCUGUGGGAAUAGGAUGUAAUUUGGGAUGCUCAUAUUAUCAGAUGCUGUUGUGGUCUACAUCACGUGUCAAACUCAUUCCGCGUCGGGCCGAGCGUCUGCUAAGGAACUCCCUUCACCUGGUUGUCUAGGUUACUAAUUAGUAAGGAACUCCCCUCACCUGGUUGUCUAGGUUACUAAUUAGUAAGGAACUCCCCUCACCUGGUUGUCUAGGUUACUAAUUAGUAAGGAACUCCCCUCACCUGGUUGUCUAGGUCACUAAUUAGUAAGGAACUCCCCUCACCUGGUUGUCUAGGUCACUAAUUAGUAAGGAACUCCCCUCACCUGGUUGUCUAGGUCUCAGUAAGGAACUCCCCUCACCUGGUUGUCUAGGUCUCAGUAAGGAACUCCCCUCACCUGGUUGUCUAGGUCUCAGUAAGGAACUCCCCUCACCUGGUUGUCUAGGUCUCAGUAAGGAACUCCCCUCACCUGGUUGUCUAGGUUACUAAUUAGUAAGGAACUCUCC
rnacentral:lncRNA from 1 species